UAUCAUCUGUUUCUUAAAUAUUUAUUGAAUUUGACUUUUAAGUGAAAAGGCUUAAAUAAAUCAAAAAGACGAUAAGACCCUAUAAAUCUUUACAAGAAAUAUAUUUUAUGUUUUAGCUUAUAAGUAUAUAAGAAAUAAAAAUAUAAGUUUGUUGCGCUGGGGCGGCGUAGAUAUAUAAAUAAACUGUCUAUAGUUUGAACACAAUAAUUAUUGCUUAAUACAAAUUGAUCCUUAAAUAGAUUAAAAGAUUAAGAUACUUUAGGGAUAACAGCGUUAUUUUUUUUGAGAGUUCUUAUCGAAGAAAAAGUUUGCGACCUCGAUGUUGAAUUAAAGUUUCUUUGUGGUGUAGCCGCUAUAAGAGAGAGUCUGUUCGACUUUUAAUACUUUA
rnacentral:rRNA from 1 species